UACGUAGGGUGCGAGCGUUAAUCGGAAUUACUGGGCGUAAAGGGUGCGCAGGCGGCUCCGCAUGUCGGGCGUGAAAUCCCCGGGCUUAACCUGGGAAUUGCGUCCCGAAACUAUGGAGCUGGAGUGUGGCAGAGGGAGGUGGAAUUCCACGUGUAGCGUGAAAUGCGUAGAGAUGUGGAGGAACACCGAUGGCGAAGGCAGCCUCCUGGGCCAACACUGACGCUCAUGCACGAAAGCGUGGGGAGCAAACAGG
rnacentral:rRNA from 1 species